AGUGAACGCUGGCGGCAGGCCUAACACAUGCAAGUCGAACGGCAGCACAGUAAUAGCUUGCUCCUACGGUUGGCGAGGGGUGGAUGAGUGAGGGAUACAUUGGACUCUACUUUUUCGUGGGGCAUAACGUCGGGAAACUUACGCUAAUACGGCAUACGACCUACGGGUGAGAUCAGAGGUUCCUCGGGUCUUGGACGAGCUCAUGGGCCGAUGUCGGAUUAGCUAGUUGGCGGGGUACCGGCCCACCAAGGCGGCGAUCCGUAGCUGGUGUGGGGGGAUGAAGAGCCACACUGGGAGUGAAACACGGUCCAGAGUCCGAGGGGAGGCAGCAGUGGGGAAGAUUGGACAAUGGGCGGAAGCCUGCUCCAGCGAUGCCGGGUGGGUGAAGAAGGCCUUCGGGUUGUAAAACCCUUUUGUUGGGAAAGAAAAGCAGCAGGUGAAUACCCCGCUGUUGUGACGGUACCCAAAGAAGAAGCACCGGCUAACUUCGUG
rnacentral:rRNA from 1 species